CCUGGUCUUAAUUGGCCG
rnacentral:siRNA from 1 species